rnacentral:rRNA from 1 species
AGCGGAUCUCUUAAAGCUGUUCUCAGUUCGGACUGCAGUCUGCAACUCGACUGCACGAAGCUGGAAUCGCUAGUAAUCGCGGAUCAGCACGCCGCGGUGAAUACGUUCCCGGGCCUUGUACACACCGCCCGUCACACCAUGAGAGUUGGAAAUACCCGAAGCCUGUGAGCUAACAGUAAUGAGGCAGCAGUCGAAGGUAGAGCCAAUGAUUGGGGUGAAGUCGUAACAAGGUAUC